CGGCAACAGCUCAAAUUUGAAAUCUGCCCGCAAGGGCCGAGUUGUAAUUUGUAGAGGAUGUUUCGAAUGCGGUCCAGUUUAAGUUCCUUGGAACAGGACGUCAUAGAGGGUGAGAAUCCCGUAUGUGACUGGGUGCCAAUUUCAUGUGAAACUCCUUCGAC
rnacentral:rRNA from 1 species